UACGUAGGGUGCAAGCGUUAAUCGGAAUUACUGGGCGUAAAGCGUGCGCAGGCGGUUGUGCAAGACAGAUGUGAAAUCCCCGGGCUCAACCUGGGAAUUGCAUUUGUGACUGCACGGCUAGAGUGUGUCAGAGGGGGGUAGAAUUCCACGUGUAGCAGUGAAAUGCGUAGAGAUCCGGAGGAACACCGACGGCGCAGGCAGCGUCCUGGCCGCUUGCUGACACUGAGGCACGAAAGCUGGGGGAGCAAACAGG
rnacentral:rRNA from 1 species